rnacentral:lncRNA from 1 species
UUCGUUCUUCUCGACUGGGAUCGGUCUUAUUCGUGUAGCCAAACAUGCGGUUUCUUCGGUUUUCCCGUCGCAUCCGCCAGGUCGGGCGACUCGACCCGAACGGGUCGGGUCUAGCUCGGUUCUAUGGGCGCCAAUCGGGGCCGCCGGUCGCCGACGAUCCGGCGGGUGAUAGAGAGUCUGGUCUGUUUCGACCCCGAUUCGGCGGCUGCCACCGCCGGAACUCCUGGCCACUUUGACAGAGGGAGGAGUAAGCGGGUCGGGUUCGGGUUCAAUUUGGCCAGUGACAGAAUCAAAUUCAAUUUUUGGGGAUUUAGAUUAGGGAAAAUCUGUUUUGACCCUGAUUCGGCGGCGGCGGCGGCGGCGGCGGACCACCGGAACUCCUGGCGACUUGACAGUGGGACGGAGUAAGCGGGUCGGGUACGGGUUCAAUUUGGCCAGUGACAAAAUCAAAUUCAAUUUUGGGGAUUUAGAUUAGGGAAAAUGUCAGUGAUCUGGUCAAUUGGGUCUCUUGAGUAUUUUUAUCUUUUGGCUAAUUCAAGAUGAUGAGUAGAGUUUGGUGCGCUGAAGUAUUCUAUUGAAUUACGAAUCAAUUGACAAAUUCUUAAUGACUAAGUAAAAAUUAAGGAGUUUUUCUUAACAAGGUCUUCAAAUCGAAUAGGGAUGGAGAUUAUCUUCGCCGUGUUAUGUGUAAUCAAUACUUUGGAACCAAUCUGGAUGAAAACGGGCGGAAAACGGGCGGUGGUGGAGGUGCUAGAGUUUUCGGAAAAUGGGCGGUCAACGCCGGUCCCCGGUGUCGGGAAAACCGAGGUAUCUUCACAUAGCUUUCGGGACCACCCAUCGACGAGUUCCUAUCCUAUCCUAUCCAUCUAGAAACCCUUCGACAUAGAGGCAUGCGUGAUCAAUGUGCUGGCGUUAGUUGACCGGGUUCAUUGCACAAUGCUCAACUAGGGGUGAGAUGCGCCUUUUGGGGUGCAACCUUGAAAGCGUGCAAGAACCCCGGAUAAACAUUUCGCAGCAGAUAUAGUAAUUACUAAAAUAAUAUAAAAAUCGAUUUUGACUUUCUAUAAUUCAAUAUCGCAUUUACAGAAUUGCUCGAGGAUACAUUUUAUAUACAAUCCAUUCGGUAAGCUCCCUGGUCGGGCGGGUGAUGCGAUAGCGAUAGUGGGGUCAAUAUAUAUUUUACCUUACUGUUGUAUACAUCGGGUUCUAUGUUAUCGGCGUUGUAUGCUUUCAUGUAAUCAAUCAAUUAUCUUGGUUGAAACGCUAAGUUUUUAAGAGUAGCAUAACCCUUUAUUGUGGUCUAAAUGCCCUUGUUUUUGGAAAAUUAUUGGCGGGUAAAUGCCAGAAAUCGAUGCUAAUCUUGGUUUUUUAUUUAUUUAUUCUAAUUUGUGAAUGGUGAAUGCAAAUUGCAGUUUGGCUGCACUGUGCUGUUGCUGUCUUCUUGAAGCUUGCUUCUGAGGAGGAGAGCAACAAGACUUAAAAGUGUGAUUUUCAUGUGAAGGAGAAGGACUCUUUUGUUAUUUGCUUUUCUUAUUAUUGUUAUUAUUAUUAUUAUUAUUAUAUUUUCCGCCUUUAAUUUGUGCUCCCACACCGACUCCUCAAAUAAUACGAACUCUGCUUGUCAAUUUGUAAGUGUAUUUCCCCCCGCCCAUGUGGUCGAUGUGUUUUGUCCUAGAAUCUGUGCCAUGCCGCUGCUGCUGCUUAAAGUUCCACAUGAAUUUGUCCUUUUUUUCGUGGAGCCAGCAAAUCCGAUUUCAUUGUACCACCUAGGGAUGUGCAAUCGGGUUGGGUUUUCAAUUCGAGAAAUCCAACGUAACCUAACCUACUUUACAACGGUCGAUUCUAGGACGGUUCAAACUAAAGAUUGGUUCAAUUUACGUAACCUAACCUACUUUACAACGGUCGAUUCUAGGACGGUUCAAACUAAAGAUUGGUUCAAUUUUCGAGUCAAACCUUUCCUACCUUAGAUGGUUCUUGGAUAGAAUCGGUUCUUAUGGGAAAGGCUGGUUCUCAUUGGCGAUGGUUCUUGGAUAGAAUCGGUUCUUAUGGGGAAGGCUGGUUCUCAUUGGCGCCUCUCUCUCUCUCUCUCUCUCUCUCUCUCUCAUUUUUGUUUAUGUAAAUGGUGUGCUUUAUUUUAUAAUAUGGUGCUUAAAUCCUUGCAAAAAUUGACCUCAUCAUCCCCGUUAUUAAAAAUAAUCUCGCAUCAUUCUUAUAUAGGGUUUUCCCCAUUAUUAAAAAUAAUCUCGCAUCAUUCUUAUAUAGGGUUUUCGAUAAGAUGGUAUUAGAGCUACCAAAUCCAAUUUCUUUGUACCGUCACCUGUGUACAUAUACUCGGUGACUUGAAUUAGUUCAAUCUUGAGCUGAUAAUGAUUUUGAAAAUGGGUUUCGAUGGUCUUAACAACGAUUAAAUAUGAGAGUUAAUCGAAGUAUGUUCUAUUCAAUCGAAGUAAAAUUAUUGGGUUAGAAUCUGUAGGACUAUUGGAGUAAUUACUGUUAUUUUUUUUUCUUUUUUUUUAAAGAUCUUUUCGUAAAUCGAUCUGGGCGUGUGGCGGUGGGUUGCGUGGUAGGGUGGGGGAAGGAAUUUUCCUCCUUGCUUUUGGGGUGCGGUAGUGUGUUGGGAUAGAAGAUUGAAGAAGGGAAUAUUCGCAUGCUCUUUUGGAAGGUGUAAUGUGGAAGGGAUAUAUACGAAAUCAAGAAAAAGUCGAAUCAUGUCAUCGUGGAUUCCACCUUGUUUAUGAUCUCAUGUCGCGUCGGUUCGAUGCAUCCAUUUUUCGGAUUUAGGCUGGGUAUAUACUAUAUAGUGAAAUAAAUUCGACGAUUAUUCUUACAACGUUGCAUAAUAAAUUCAACAAUUAUUUCAUUCAUACUUUUAUGAUAUCGAUUUUUUUUUCUUUAUUCUCAUAAUAAUGACCAUCUUACAUUCACAUCUCGGAUAUAAUAAAAUUUUCAAAAAAACUAAUUUUUUUGUCAAACGAUUGUUGUCACUAAGAUGUCUCUCGACAGUGCAACACAAGCCUUUCGAAAGUCUAGUCACGACCCCGCGUUUAUCACAACCUCAACUACCGUGGCGGAUUUCGACCAAAACCCAAAAAACUAGCGUGGUGAAGAUUUUGGUCAAUAUGAAAUUAUUGUAUUGACUUGACUGAAAAUGCAUUUGUGGAGUCGCCUCAAGAGAAGACGACGCUUGGGAGAUGGCCACAAGAGGAUGUCAUUUUCCAAUUGCAUCCAACCACCUUAGCAUGUUGGCACAUGAUACCAACUAAUUUUCUUUUUUCCUCUCCCGAUUAAUAAAACCAGAAAAUAUCUUUUAAAAAUAAUCAUUUAUAUCAUUUAAAAUAAACGACCAAUAAUUUUUUUAUUUUUAUUUUUAUAGGAGAUAAAAAUAUUCAUCAUUCAUUAAUUUUUGUAAUUGACACUGAGCGAUUAAUUUCGUGAAUUUUUUUUUUCUAAAUCAUUCAUUUUUCAUAGAAUAAACCGAGCCAAUCCCCUCAUUAAUUUUGAGGAAAAUUGUAGGGAGAGAUCACCUAAUUUCUUGGCGACAGGAACCUUUAUUAAAAAAAAGUGUUUUGUCCCAUGUUCAAUCUUUUUCUAAGUUCAACAUCAAUAUCAUGCGUUCAGUCGGAACGAACUUGGGAACUCCACUCAUCGCGGGGAAAUUAAUCCAAAAAAUAUUCCAAAAAAGAGAGAAAAAAAAAAUUAAAAAGAAUAGUAGUUUGGCUUUUACGUGAAGAUGUUGCUUUCAUCCCCAUGCUGUCCUUAUCAUUCGAAUUUUUCUCCUUUUGGCCAAACAUUUAUCAUUCGAUUUGUCCAUUAUUUCAAACGAUAUCCUUAUAAACGACCCUUUUGGAUUUGAAUUGGUUUGACGGGGUAGUGAGAGAAUCCUAGUCCUAGUAUAGUUCUUCUUGAAGAUUCUAACCUUUUAAGAAUUUACACAAAUACAAGUACAUUUUCUUUUUGGGAAAAGGGGCCCCCCCGCCCUGCCCCCGGGGUAGGGGGGAGUAGAAUUUUUUAAGUGAUAUACAUCGAUAUACAUGAAGGCAUUUUUCCUUCUCUAUCUAUUCAUUUCAAUUUUAAACUCAAACUUUUGAAUUGUAGAUAGAAAAGAUGAAAGUAUUACAAAAACAAAUUGUGGGUCUAACACAUUUGCCACUAAUUUUUGUCAAGCGAAAAAUCCCAAACUAGUACCUUAUAACACAUUUAUCCAGUCUCAUAAAUUGGUGUGCCUAACCCAAAUCUAGAAUUAUGUUCACUAUCCCAUUAAAAUUCAUACAUUACACGUGGUAGAAGACAAUAAGAUAAAUCUAAGGUAGAGAACAACAAAUCCAAUGUGGAAAUCUACAUUGUUGACACAUAUCCUUUUUAACGAAUGGUAGAUUUCGUUUAGAGGUACUAGCCUAUGAGGCAAAGAUUACUUUAAGGGUAAACGUGUUAUUAGAUAAAAUUUUACAAUUUUUAAUGGUAUUAACUCUUCAUUUAAAAAAAAUUAUUUGUUAGAUUUUUCUCAAUGAAAAAUUUAUAUCGAUUAAAUAAAUGAUUAUACCAUUGAAAAGUACAUAUGCGAAACUAUUUUCGAAACAAACCAUAUCAUUAAGAGUAUAUUUGAAAUGUGGUUUCUUUGAUCUAUCCGUUUAUUUUAUAAGUCUAACGUAAAUGAGAGAUAUAACCCGGCAUACUCUCUAUCUACCCUUUUACUGAAAUUUAAUCUCAACAAAAGAUAACUCCUUGGAACCAACAUCUUCUCUAACUCCAACUUUUUACCAUAUAUAUAAGUCAAUGGCUUGUUCAUUAAGGUUGUAGCAAAUUCGGAAGUUUUGUCAAGAGAAGUAAUUGGAGGUUCAGCAGACAUUAUUUGCACGGUCGAUUUGCUCUUCUGCAUCAGGUCAGUGGAUUUCCUUCUCUCUUGGUUUGAUUAUAUUGGCUUAGGCUAUAUAAUUUUGAGUCUUGUAUGUGAUCCAAGAGGCCUGUCACUUUGAUUUGCCUACUGAGGAGAGUUUGAUAUGGUGCCAAGAUGCGCAUAUAUGUACAUAUUGUCUAUGACCAUGUACUGAUAUGGAAACAUGUGGAAAGUAUGUGACGUAUAUAUGUUAUGUAUCGUUUGGUGCUGAACUCUUUUAUUCUUUCGAACUUUAUGACAUGUCUAAUCCAUUGCAUUCUGAGUUGAUGAUUCAUAGUUAAGUUAAACCAGUUACGGUUUUGUAGAUUUUGAGUAGUUUGAUCUUGGAGUUUAUGGAUCGUGUACUUUUGUGGAAUUAGUUUGGCUUGUUCUUAACCUGUAACAUUAGUUUGGACAGCACUGUCGCCGACCGUGAUAGUUUUCGACAGGAUUGAUGGUUGACCUGUGCAGGCACUUCUGUGGCUGCUCUUUGUGCAGGGCUAGAAGACAUGAAGGCUUUCUCAGGAUUCACCAUGCCGUUGCUUCUUUGUCUCGCAUUCGUGCUCUUCUACUCAGGAUCAGGUUCUAGUUUCUCUCGUUUAUCUCCCUCUUUUGUUUGCUUUGUUUGCUAAAUCACAUGCCCCUCCAAGAACACUUUACCAGACUCCCUUUAGUACUAUGUGAUUCUCUUGUGUUCUCCUUGAUGCUUUGAAAAAGGUUGACUGUUGGAUUGUUUUACCUGUUGUGAUGUAGUAGUCAUGGGCAAUUAAGCUAAUGCUUUCUCGUUUUAAGCCAUUCCAGGACAGGUCACGCAGGAUGCCUUCAAUGAUGUUUACUAUGAUGCAUCAGCAACAACACAGGCAAGAUCAAAUUCCUAGACACCCUUUUGCGAACUUUAAGCAUGUCAUAUUCGCGAUCAUUGCUAAGUUGAAUUCAAGCACAAAGAACCGGAGAUUGAUCUUAGACAAUCAAUUAUUCCGUGCAUUGGUUUUUCAAGUAGUUCACACUUUUGGUCUCCUGAUAGUACGUAGCUAAAGCUUCCGGGAAACAACUUGCAAUCCUAAGCUAAACAUAUUAAAUGUUAUUGAAUUCGAUGUUUGGUGAAUUCAAUGCUAAUUAGAGAAUUCUGAAGCUUCUAUGUGUACGUAUUUGAUAAGCAGUGUCUAGCAGAGCCAGGGAUUACCAUGUAUGGAGGCGGCAUCAUAGUUAACCCGCAGUUUACCUACGGCACAUACGGAUGGACUGUAUCUGGGCAAGGAGAGAUUGCAGAACGCGUAUCGCGUACCAACAAUGGGUUCAUGGCGGCGUACAAUAGGAAACUUCCACUGGACAGUUUCUCCCAGAAAGUUCUACUCGAGAAGGGCAAGUUCUACAUGUUUUCAGGUAAUUAUUCCCUCUGCGAUCUCCACAAAGAUUAUUGUAUGCUCCCAGUACGCGUAUGUAUGCGCCUAUACUUGCAUGUUGGAGUUGUUCAUGUGAAGCCCACAAGCUUGUGACAUAACAAGGGAUGUGAAAACAUGAAUUUCGGUGGAGUUAAAGAUGAAUGUUACUCAUGUUGAAAGUGGUGAUUUUGCAGCUUGGGUACAAGUCAGUGAAGGAAGUGAGACGGUAUCGGCAGUAUUUGGAACUGGAGGAGGCGAGUUUGUUCCCGGAGGCAGCGUCGUGGCUGAGCAUGGUUGCUGGUCAUUGCUAAAAGGAGGCAUCGCUGCGAACUCUUCAGGACCCGUCGACCUCCUUUUUGAGGUGAAAGGCAUUCAACUUUUUUGGUCUAUCUAAUUAUGGUGAACAUAUUUCUACUAGUCAGUGCUUUAUUAGGUGUUAUCAGAAGAUCAGCACAUUCGAAAAUAAACUGUAUUCAAGAUACUAAAUCAGACUCUUAAUGUAUGAUUGUUACUCUUACUUUCCAUGUUGAGUGAUCAAUUCUUUUGAUUUUACCGUUAAUUCAUCCUUAAUUUUGUCAAGAUUAAACCUUUGUGAGAACAAUUUCAUUGAAAAGUUCGAAGCUACAUUAGGUGCAGACCUAAUAUUAAGCAUACAUUGAUACCGAUUCCUGAUUGUCGCAGAGCAAGAAUACCUCAAAGGAAAUAUGGGUCGACAAUGUCUCGUUGCAGCCAUUCUCAAAGAAGCAAUGGCAGUUUCACCAAGACCAAAACAUUGAGAAGGUAAGUGUUAUGAGUUGAGUUGUAUCUUGUGCCAUAACAAACUGCGGUAAAUUUCAUAAUUGCAGGUGCGGAAGGGCAAAGUGAGGUUGCAAGUUACUUAUCCAUAUUCAAAAGCCGGAGUUGGUGGAGCCACAGUUCUUAUCAAA